rnacentral:rRNA from 1 species
GAUGAACGCUGGCGGCGUGCCUAAUACAUGCAAGUCGAGCGAACAGACGAGGAGCUUGCUCCUCUGACGUUAGCGGCGGACGGGUGAGUAACACGUGGAUAACCUACCUAUAAGACUGGGAUAACUUCGGGAAACCGGAGCUAAUACCGGAUAAUAUAUUGAACCGCAUGGUUCAAUAGUGAAAGACGGUUUUGCUGUCACUUAUAGAUGGAUCCGCGCCGCAUUAGCUAGUUGUUAAGGUAACGGCUUACCAAGGCAACGAUGCGUAGCCGACCUGAGAGGGUGAUCGGCCACACUGGAGCUGAGACACGGUCCAGACUCCUACGGGAGGCAGCAGUAGGGAAUCUUCCGCAAUGGGCGAAAGCCUGACGGAGCAACGCCGCGUGAGUGAUGAAGGUCUUCGGAUCGUAAAACUCUGUUAUUAGGGAAGAACAAAUGUGUAAGUAACUAUGCACGUCUUGACGGUACCUAAUCAGAAAGCCACGGCUAACUACGUG